rnacentral:rRNA from 1 species
UACGUAGGGUGCGAGCGUUGUCCGGAAUUAUUGGGCGUAAAGGGCUCGUAGGCGGUUUGUCGCGUCGGGAGUGUAAUCCUCGUGCUUAACACGGGGCUUGCUUUCGAUACGGGCAGACUGGAGGCAUGCAGGGGAGAACGGAAUUCCUGGUGUAGCGGUGAAAUGCGCAGAUAUCAGGAGGAACACCGGUGGCGAAGGCGGUUCUCCGGGCAUGUCCUGACGCUGAGGAGCGAAAGUGUGGGGAGCGAACAGGAUUAGAUACCCUGGUAGUCCACACCGUAAACGUUGGGCGCUAGGUGUGGGAUCCAUUCCACGGGUUCCGUGCCGUAGCUAACGCAUUAAGCGCCCCGCCUGGGGAGUACGGCCGCAAGGCUAAA